AGCUGAUCCAAUUGCAGUGGUAUUUACAACUAAUUGGUCAUAACUAGUUUCAGAUUUCUGUUCCUUCUCCAUGCCCACUGCUUCACUUGACUAGCAAAAA
rnacentral:Y_RNA from 1 species